UUNCACUUCAUCCUGAUGCCUGGGAGCC
rnacentral:piRNA from 1 species